CAGUCGCCGCGGUAAUACGUAGGGUGCGAGCGUUAAUCGGAAUUACUGGGCGUAAAGCGUGCGCAGGCGGUUCGUUAAGACAGAUGUGAAAUCCCCGGGCUUAACCUGGGAACUGCAUUUGUGACUGGCGAGCUAGAGUAUGGCAGAGGGGGGUAGAAUUCCACGUGUAGCAGUGAGAUGCGUAGAGAUGUGGAGGAAUACCGAUGGCGAAGGCAGCCCCCUGGGCCAAUACUGACGCUCAUGCACGAAAGCGUGGGGAGCAAACAGGAUUAGAUACCCCGGUAGUCCCUGUCUCUUAUAA
rnacentral:rRNA from 1 species